GUGGCUGUUCCGGAGUCGCAUCUUUUAGAAUAUGCUAGUGUGGGCGCGCACAGCGCUUCGCUGAGUUCUGUGAGUAGUUCUGCCAUAUUAUUGAACUUGAGGAGGGUGUGGGCGCCCCUGGUUUGUAGGCGGGAGUUCAGAAAUGAAGACGGGUGUCCAGAGGCAGGGACCGGUGCCUGCAGGGGGGCAACUGCGAGAAGAGCGCUGAGCUUGUGGGGUCUGCGCUGACUCUGGGUGGCGUCUUUAGUGAGUUGCUGGACACCGCUUUGGGGUUGGAGCAUUGACUGGUGUUGAGCAAACUCCUCACGUUUUCUGUCAGAAGAAAGACAGGGCUGAGCCUGGGCUGGAGGGAGUAGCAUGGUGUCUGCGGGAGGCGUGACUGGGUUCUGCACAUGCGCAGUCCUGCUGGGCCCUGUCCUGUUCCUCCAGGUCUCCUCCGAGGGAGAGAGGGGACUGGAAACUUAGAGGAAAGGAGUUCUGAGAAACAUCCUUCCUCACACCAUGCUGCCAGCCCCCACCCAAUGCUAACCCACUCCUGAGCCCACCCACUGGGCAUUGGCAUGGCCACACUCCUUCCAGGAUAGGUUUCUACCCUCAGAAAUUGUGCCCAAUGGCAGCUUUGCUCCUACAGUUUUCUCCCAAGAACACACAAAGUGCCCAGAAGACUCCUGGCUCAUCUCAACCCCAGAUGUGUAGCAGGAAUCUGCUUUCUUCACCACCCAGUCUUCUAGACCACCUGAUCCUAAUCUCCUCUGCCCUUAUGGACUCAGGAAUCAGUCAGAGUGUAGCCCUGCGUCGGCCUGCACUUAUAGUACAAACCAGUGCUUUAGUCAGUCCUGCCUUGCCCCCACCCAAGGCUCUUGAUGGCACCUUCCUCUCUUCUGCUCUUUCCUUCCCCACAAAUCCUCUUUCCUGUGUUCACAGUGUGCCCAAGUCCAUCCCUCAGGUGCCUACAAGAAUUCAGACGUUAGUAAGUUCAAGACCAUGCCUUUAGAACAGGCUGUUGUAGGACCAAAUACAAAUUAGAAGCUUAAUGCUUUCUCUUUAGAGUGUGGGAAGAAUUUUUGCUCUUCUCCCUUUUCUUAAAGCAUUUAAUUUGAAAACUUUUAUAUUUAAAUAUUUUCUCUGCUUCUUUGAAAAAUAUAUAAAUCAUUUUUAUCAGUUAACUAGGUCAUUUGUCUUUUUCGACUGAAAAUUGUCUUUAUCUAGGAUCUGGAAACUAUUGUCUUGAAAUGUAAAUCGCAAGAGUCUAUACACCCUAUGCCACAGUUUUUGUAGGAAAGUAGGGGGCUGCCUUCAGCAGGUACCUGGCUCAACAUUUCAAAACUACGUCUUACCAUGAAGAUGUGGGAAGUUUUUUUGUUGCUGUUGAAUGUUACCAAUUAGAAAACCCUGCUGGGACUACAGGCGCCCAGGUGACCUCUCAAAUUACUAGGUGACAUAAACUGUGUAUGACAAAUGGUGCUGUCAUGUCUUGUACUUGAGAACUAAUUACGGUGAUGUUCUUUCUGUAUUUGCAAUCUAUUAGUUGAUUGCCUGUGAUGCAUAUCAUAGUUUGGUAUAAUUAAAUAACAGAACAUUUUCUUGCUGUUCUGUUAUUGUGGGGAGUAUUUUAGGAUUAGAGAUGAUUUUGCUUUUAGUUAUAGUUACCACACUGUUCAGAAUUACCAGAUUUAUACAUAAAGUGCCCACUAGGCCUCACUUGAGAGAAAACCUUUUUUCUAAGGAUUCCAGUCACAAUCCACAAUUUUGUGGCAAAGUGCACAAAGUGUAGCAAAGUGCUCCUCAAAGCUGCAAAAAAAAAACAGCCGGGUGCAGUGGCUCACACCUUUAAUCCCAGCACUUUGGGAGGCUGAGGUGGCCAGAUCACGAGGUCAGGAGAUUGAGACCAUCCUGGCUAACACCGUGAAACCCUGCCUCUACUAAAAAUAUAAAAAAUUAGCUGGGCGUGGUGGCAGGCACCUGUAGUCUCAGCUACAGGGGAGGCUGAGACAGGAGAAUGGCAUGAACCCGGGAGGCGGAGACUGCAGUGAGCCAAGGUCGCGAGACUGCACUCCAGCCUGGGCAAGUGCUGGUGAGAGUGAGACACCAUCUCAAAAAAAAAAAAAAUCUCUCUAUUUGGGAUCUCUAUUUGGGAACAGUCACUUCUAAAGCAGUUAGACUAGAUUUCUACAAAAAUAACUUCUCAGGACAGCAAUCAGUUAUUCCAUUUCUUUUAGCGCUCCUGGCAUCUUUAGAUCUGACACUGGUUCAGACAUCAUGGGGUCCAUAAACCCAACCAGGAUCACAUAAGUGCAUUAAUUAAACCAGAGAACUUCAAUUCUCUCUCUUCUCCCCUUGCCCAAAUGCCCACAAAUGUGCAUAGCUUACCAGCCUUCCAAGACCUAAAUGUGCAGUUCCAAAUUCUAAAUUAAUAUCCUGGGAUUUGAGAAGAAAACGGCACUUUUGUCUGAGAAAUACAAGUUCUUUUAAUUAUCAGACCCAGAGAUUUGUUAAAAUGAGACCGCAGUCCUACUUUUCCCCACGUUGAACUAUUUAUUUUUUGAAAUUCCUUGCUAUUGCUACCAGUGGCUAUAAAUUAACCUAAUAAUACCACAAUGGACACUAUAAUGCACACCCUAUGGCUUAACAUAUAUAUAGCCAGACACUAACCAGUGUUACUUCUAUAAACCAAUAGGAAUGUCUGAGAACUUUCUAUCAGUCCCCUCUCUGCCUUCUUUUUUGCCUUUAAAAAUACACUUGUAACUGCUUCUAAUUGGAGUGUAUGUUCAGGGCAGCUUUAUACUCCGGGCUUGCAGUCUUCAAGCUUUGGCCCAAAUAAACUCUCUAGUUAUGUUUACCCCAGCUUUUUCCUUUUAGGUCAAAAUAUUCUUCAGAAUGUGUUGAAGGAGCCUCCAUGAGAGGAUCUCUCUGGUUUUACUCUGUUUGCUGUAAUCCCCAAGAAUGCAGAGGCACAUUGAUUCUGAGAGGAGAGACCCUCUCAUAUUGUUUUAUAUUGUUUCAUACUCAGUAAAAACAACAAGGAAGUAAAAUCAAAGACAGGCAGCCCGGCGCCAGGCCUCAGCCUGCCUGGCCUAAACCCAGUAGUUAAAAAUCAACUUAUGAAUUAGAAGCCGAUGUUAUUCAUAGAUUCCAAACAUUGUAUAGAAGAACAUUGUGAAACUCCCUGCCCUGUUCUGUUUGUUCCUGAUCACCGGUGCAUGCAGCCCCUGUCACAUACCCCUUGCUUGCUCAAAUCAAUCACGACCCUUUCAUGUGAAAUCUUUGGUGUUGUGAACCCUUAGAAGGGACAGAAAUUGUGCACUCAGGAAGCUCGGAUUUUGAGACAGUAGCUGGCUGAUGCUCCCAGCUGAAUAAAGCCCUUCCUUCUACAACUCGGUGUCCGAGAGAUUUUGUCUGUGGCUCGUCCUGCUACAAUUCCACCUAGAAUCUGCACAUAAAAGCUGGCUUCUGCCUAGGAUUCACAAGAUAGUGCCAGACUUUGGGUUGAAGACAUACAGAAAACUCACAGAAGGCAUUUUCUGCAUCAUGAGAGGUCAACAUAGACAUCUUAAACCACACUUUCAGAGUGGAGCCCUUUGAGUUUUCCAGAUCUUGUCUAGUCACCUGGUACAACUAUGUGAGAGGCUUCUGGUGUGAACAGAAUCCUGUGGCAGAAUCUGUAAGUGUAAACAAGCACCUUAGCAGUGGGAGGUCAGGUCCACAAAAUAUCCAGAGCCAUAAUCACAACCAUAAUCACUAGUCUGCCAUCCUGUAUACUGUGGUACUGGAGUACUUUUAUCUUUCCUCUUGUCUCAGAGUUAGCUGAUCAGGGACAGUGCAUAUGACAUCUGGAUCCAGGAUCUGCAGCUCUACCAGGGCAGUUCUGUUUUCCGUUUGCACUCCACAAAGUUAGCCUGAGUCUCUCCUGCCUGGAUCACUAUGGGGGCUUCAGCCCAGGGUCACUGAGGACACUCUCACCAGCAUCAGUGAGUUAUUUGAGACAUUUGAGGAUGUCCUGUGCAGACUGGGGUCAGUGUGACAACAAAGUCUAAUUCUGGUUCCAUUUUCAGAGAAAGAGAAAUGACUUAUCCAGGGUUUGUUCCUCCCCUCACAGAAAGAAUCUCCUUGUUCAUAACAGAUAAGAGUUGUUCCAGUUUUUUUGGUUCUUUGGUGAAAAUGAGGAGAUCUAGAGACUCAAACUGAUCAAUAAGUAAUUGCUUCUAUUUCUUAUGGUAAUUAGAAAAAGAAAUGAACCAGUCAUGGUCCCUACCAUCAAGUAACUUGCAGUCUGGAGCACAAAGAUGGAAACUGUACAGGAGACUUAAGCUUCAUUUGGGUUACUUUUAUUGUUUUGUGAGUUUUGAUGCCUCCACCUGAAGGGCUAUUCGUGGACUGAAGAGAAUUUGUUGUUGUUAUUAUUAUUAUUUGUAUUGUUUUUAGCUUGUGAAUAAUAAGUAUUUGGCUCUUAAUAUAAUUGGUCUAGAAAAAAUAAGGAUUUUGAUUAAGUUCCUUCUUACUGUAUGUUGUAAUAUAGACAGGGAAGUGGCGAAAGUAGGUUAAAAUCACACAAACUCUGGGAAUAAAAUCUCUCUUUGUCAGGCUUAGAAAAAACAAAACUGAAAACACUUAAUGGCCUAGAGAGCAGAAGCCUAGGGCCCACUGUCUGUCCCAGCUCUGCCCAGAUCCACCCUCUGCUGAAUCUUGUCCAGGUCUGACCCCACACUGAAAUCUCUCACAGAACUGCUUAGAGGAGAUAAGAGUUUGGGGUGGCUACUCCUACUGCCACUCCAGAGCUGGUGCUUCCAAUUUCCUGAAACAGAAAAGCAGAUAAAUGGGGAAAAGCAAUAUACUUUUGUGCCUUAAAUUCUUUUUUAUAAAAUUAAAACCAGUGUUUCUAGAGACAUCUCAUCCAGCAAUCUGUUCUCCAGCCCUAUAGUUUUAGUGUUUGUUUUUCUUUACAAUUUUCAAAGUAAAUACAAAUACAAAAAUAAAAAAUUCCUCUGAAUUGCACUUAACACUUUCUUUCUGUUUCUCUCCCAUCUAUCUAUAUUGAACUAUUCUAUACAUUUUUUAAAAAAUCAGUCAUAGGAAAACAAGAAGAAAUAGAAAUGCCAGGCCCUGCAUUUAAAUCCUGGGAAUUAUGGGACACUUACUACCCACCUCCCAGCAUGUUAUGAGAAUUAACGCACAUAAUGUGAGCUUCCCAGCAGAGGGCUCUGUGACAUACUCCUG
rnacentral:lncRNA from 10 species